rnacentral:rRNA from 1 species
UACGGGGGGGGCAAGCGUUGUUCGGAAUUACUGGGCGUAAAGCGCACGUAGGCGGGUCCUUAAGUCAGGGGUGAAAUCCUGGAGCUCAACUCCAGAACUGCCCUUGAUACUGAGGAUCUCGAGUUCGGGAGAGGUGAGUGGAACUGCGAGUGUAGAGGUGAAAUUCGUAGAUAUUCGCAAGAACACCAGUGGCGAAGGCGGCUCACUGGCCCGAUACUGACGCUGAGGUGCGAAAGCGUGGGGAGCAAACAGG